UGCUUAACAUUGAACUUCAUUCCCGGCCCUCAAAGUUGCCAAACUGUCUGGCUUAGAGCUCAAGAGUAGAGGGCAAGAAUGAAGACUGGGCCUGGACUGCGGGAGAAGAGAACAAGAAGCCAACAAGAAGCCUGGCCCUGCCUGAGAGUUGGCACCAUGCAUGGGCCACUGUGGGGAGAACCAGAUGCCAGCCCCUUCUGGCACACAGGCUGGGAGAUAAGAGCCAACCCUGCCCCCUACUUUCCAAACCCCUCCUCCCCGACAUAAGUGACCAGCUGAUCUGGAGAAACACAGGCCAUGAUGAUAGCUAUUGAGAAUAAAACCCAACAAAACAGAGUAAAGCCAAUCAAAACAAAGAUGUGAAAGUGGUGCAGAACUUCAAAGCAGGAUAACAGGACAUCAACAAUGGCUAUAUAGUAUAUCUUGCUAUCUCCACAACAGUUAUCCAUUCCAUCAGACGUAGUAAAAUCAAAUACAACAAAUCAGAAUGAAACCAAUCAAAACAGAACACUGGAUAAAGCAAAACAAUAAAUUGGAACAAAACAAAACAAAACAGUGAGAACAAUAUUGGAUUUCAAAAGCAAGACAGAAGGAAAUUCCCCAAAUUUGCUGUAUUGCAUACUGUAAUCCUCCUAAUAGAUGCUCAGACUACUGGCCUUAGGCCUACAAAGUCAAUCAAGCAAUACAA